rnacentral:lncRNA from 1 species
UACCAUUUUCUCCUAUCUCUUCUCUAUGGAAUCCCAGGAUGCAAUAUAAGAACACCUCACGUCUCCCACAUCUAACUUAAGAAAAGGACUUGUGGAAAGUGGAAAGCCAAAAAUCUAUCAUAUAUGCUGGGAUGUAAGCCAACACUUUAAGGUAAAAGCACAACACAAAACUUUUCUCCGUUUGCAGUCAACUUGGGAGCUGUUUGCUGAAUUCUCUCUUCUCUGCUACGUGAGCAUAAAAUCACCCAAGAGCAGAGGACCCUGCCUCCUGCCCCAGCAAAAACAGCUGUCAGGUCUAAGGAAUUGCAUCUUGGGAAGGAAGAUGAAAUGGAGGGUAGAUGUGGAGGGGUGCAGCAAGAGGGUAGCAGAUCCAUUUGCGCUAAGACCUGGACUCACCCGCCGCCUCUCCAACUGGACAGAGUGGGCAGCCGUGACUCAUGGCCAUGAACUCUGGGAAGAUGGCAGCCACCAGUGACAGGAGCCUCAUGGAGGAAAGGAAGAAGGUGCUAGACUCAAAGCCAGAAGAACUGAGUUCCAGCACCUGCUCUGGCCCUUACCAACUCUGUCGGCCGGGGCAGUUGGUCCACCUGUCUAAGGGUGAUGAUACUCCGCUAACACAGUGGGUUUUUUGAGAGAGUCUACUGAAAUCAUUGUGUAUAUGAAGCACUUUUAAAACUGUAAAGUGCCAUCCAAAUGAAAGACGGUAGUACCUCCCUCAGCCUCUGGUAACGUGUAUGUCUACUAAGUGUUAGGAGUGCAAGGACAUGCCCACCUUCCAGCUAAUUGGUGCGGAAAGGCCCUGGGCUUCCCCGCAUAACAAGCUGCAACUGCAUGACCCCAUACCGCCUUUAUUUCUUCUAAUUGCAGCUUUCUGCUUACGCUUCUCUUUACUUACCUGUCGCUGAUCACUGACCACCUUUUUGAAUGAAGAAUGUUCCAGAGUCUUGGCUGGCCCUAGAUGCCACCUUUCAUGUCACCUUGCUCUGCUGCCCCCCCACCCUCAUCCUG